AUUUUUGUCUGCAAGGAAAAUGUGCUGCUGUUGCCCUUAAAUGGUACACUAAUUGUUUCUGAAAAAGGGUUUAUGGUUUGAUGGGGAUUCUUCCUUAUGGAUAUGAUGCCAUGCAUGAAUGUUGAACUUGCUGACUCGCUAAGCAAAAGAGGAAUAUUCAGCGUACAGCAACUAUAGUGUCUCCCCAAGGCAACUUUGCAGACCAUGAUUGGAAAUUUUCUUGCUUCAAAAUUGUAUCAGGAUCUGCAGCCUUUUCCACGUAUCAAAGUGUAAUUAAAACUUCAGCAACAGGACAGCUGAAAGUCUCGCUUUUUAGACAUUACACCGGUGAACACCAAUUUCAGGCAAAACAAAUCAAGAGCGUUUACCCCUCGUUUCCCUAAGGUGAAAAACGAAGCAUAUGGUGGUUGGUCCUUGGGAACACCUCAACAUGGGAAUCAUAUGCUCUCAUAAGAGUAUCUUUGUCUGAUCACUUGGUGAUUCACAUGGAGUUACCAUCAGUUCCUAAGAUUCUCCAGGUACUACAUGGCUUUUUCAUGCUUUGCUUGCUAACAUUUGUUUUACCAUGCUUUCCAGGGGAUGAAAUUGACUUUAAUUUCAGAUUGUUAUCUAAGCAAAUUAUUGAACUGGAGUAACCAAAGCAAGAUAUAUUAUCAGUAGAUACAUUGGACCUUAGGGUGUAUAGUUAUAGAUAGUUUUAUAAAAGUAUCAAUACAUUGGACCUUAAGGUGUAUAUCAGUAAAUAUACAAAUUUCA